AUAUGGUCAAGUGAAGAAGCGCAUACGGUGGAUGCCUUGGCAGUCAGAGGCGAUGAAAGACGUGGUAGCCUGCGAUAAGCUUCGGGGAGUCGGCAAACAGACUUUGAUCCGGAGAUCUCUGAAUGGGGGAACCCACUCAGCAUAAGCUGAGUAUCUUGUACUGAAUACAUAGGUGCAAGAGGCGAACCAGGGGAACUGAAACAUCUAAGUACCCUGAGGAAAAGAAAUCAACCGAGAUUCCCUUAGUAGUGGCGAGCGAACGGGGACUAGCCCUUAAGUGGCUUUGAGAUUAGCGGAACGCUCUGGAAAGUGCGGCCAUAGUGGGUGAUAGCCCUGUACGCGAAAAUCUCUUAGUCAUGAAAUCGAGUAGGACGGAGCACGAGAAACUUUGUCUGAAUAUGGGGGGACCAUCCUCCAAGGCUAAAUACUACUGACUGACCGAUAGUGAACCAGUACCGUGAGGGAAAGGCGAAAAGAACCCCGGAGAGGGGAGUGAAAUAGAUCCUGAAACCGUAUGCGUACAAGCAGUGGGAGCCUACUUGUUAGGUGACUGCGUACCUUUUGUAUAAUGGGUCAGCGACUUAUAUUCAGUGGCGAGCUUAACCGAAUAGGGGAGGCGUAGCGAAAGCGAGUCUUAAUAGGGCGUUUAGUCGCUGGGUAUAGACCCGAAACCGGGCGAUCUAUCCAUGGGCAGGUUGAAGGUUAGGUAACACUGACUGGAGGACCGAACCGACUACCGUUGAAAAGUUAGCGGAUGACCUGUGGAUCGGAGUGAAAGGCUAAUCAAGCUCGGAGAUAGCUGGUUCUCCUCGAAAGCUAUUUAGGUAGCGCCUCAUGUAUCACUGUAGGGGGUAGAGCACUGUUUCGGCUAGGGGGUCAUCCCGACUUACCAAACCGAUGCAAACUCCGAAUACCUACAAGUGCCGAGCAUGGGAGACACACGGCGGGUGCUAACGUCCGUCGUGAAAAGGGAAACAACCCAGACCGUCAGCUAAGGUCCCAAAGUUAUGGUUAAGUGGGAAACGAUGUGGGAAGGCUUAGACAGCUAGGAGGUUGGCUUAGAAGCAGCCACCCUUUAAAGAAAGCGUAAUAGCUCACUAGUCGAGUCGGCCUGCGCGGAAGAUGUAACGGGGCUCAAACCAUACACCGAAGCUACGGGUAUCACUUAGGUGAUGCGGUAGAGGAGCGUUCUGUAAGCCUGUGAAGGUGAGUUGAGAAGCUUGCUGGAGGUAUCAGAAGUGCGAAUGCUGACAUGAGUAACGACAAUGGGAGUGAAAAACUCCCACGCCGAAAGACCAAGGUUUCCUGCGCAACGUUAAUCGACGCAGGGUUAGUCGGUCCCUAAGGCGAGGCUGAAAAGCGUAGUCGAUGGAAAACAGGUUAAUAUUCCUGUACUUCUGGUUAUUGCGAUGGAGGGACGGAGAAGGCUAGGCCAGCUUGGCGUUGGUUGUCCAAGUUUAAGGUGGUAGGCUGAGAUCUUAGGUAAAUCCGGGAUCUUAAGGCCGAGAGCUGAUGACGAGUUGCCAUUAGGCGACGAAGUGGUUGAUGCCAUGCUUCCAAGAAAAGCUUCUAAGCUUCAGAUAACCAGGAACCGUACCCCAAACCGACACAGGUGGUUGGGUAGAGAAUACCAAGGCGCUUGAGAGAACUCGGGUGAAGGAACUAGGCAAAAUGGCACCGUAACUUCGGGAGAAGGUGCGCCGGUGAGGGUGAAGGACUUGCUCCGUAAGCCCAUGCCGGUCGAAGAUACCAGGCCGCUGCGACUGUUUAUUAAAAACACAGCACUCUGCAAACACGAAAGUGGACGUAUAGGGUGUGACGCCUGCCCGGUGCCGGAAGGUUAAUUGAUGGGGUUAGCUAACGCGAAGCUCUUGAUCGAAGCCCCGGUAAACGGCGGCCGUAACUAUAACGGUCCUAAGGUAGCGAAAUUCCUUGUCGGGUAAGUUCCGACCUGCACGAAUGGCGUAACGAUGGCGGCGCUGUCUCCACCCGAGACUCAGUGAAAUUGAAAUCGCUGUGAAGAUGCAGUGUAUCCGCGGCUAGACGGAAAGACCCCGUGAACCUUUACUAUAGCUUUGCACUGGACUUUGAAUUUGCUUGUGUAGGAUAGGUGGGAGGCUUUGAAGCGUGGACGCCAGUUCGCGUGGAGCCAUCCUUGAAAUACCACCCUGGCAACUUUGAGGUUCUAACUCAGGUCCGUUAUCCGGAUCGAGGACAGUGUAUGGUGGGUAGUUUGACUGGGGCGGUCUCCUCCUAAAGAGUAACGGAGGAGUACGAAGGUGCGCUCAGACCGGUCGGAAAUCGGUCGUAGAGUAUAAAGGCAAAAGCGCGCUUGACUGCGAGACAGACACGUCGAGCAGGUACGAAAGUAGGUCUUAGUGAUCCGGUGGUUCUGUAUGGAAGGGCCAUCGCUCAACGGAUAAAAGGUACUCCGGGGAUAACAGGCUGAUACCGCCCAAGAGUUCAUAUCGACGGCGGUGUUUGGCACCUCGAUGUCGGCUCAUCACAUCCUGGGGCUGAAGCCGGUCCCAAGGGUAUGGCUGUUCGCCAUUUAAAGUGGUACGCGAGCUGGGUUUAGAACGUCGUGAGACAGUUCGGUCCCUAUCUGCCGUGGACGUUUGAGAUUUGAGAGGGGCUGCUCCUAGUACGAGAGGACCGGAGUGGACGAACCUCUGGUGUUCCGGUUGUCACGCCAGUGGCAUUGCCGGGUAGCUAUGUUCGGAAGAGAUAACCGCUGAAAGCAUCUAAGCGGGAAACUUGCCUCAAGAUGAGAUCUCACUGGAGCCUUGAGCUCCCUGAAGGGCCGUCGAAGACUACGACGUUGAUAGGUUGGGUGUGUAAGCGCUGUGAGGCGUUGAGCUAACCAAUACUAAUUGCCCGUGAGGCUUGACCAU
rnacentral:rRNA from 1 species